rnacentral:rRNA from 1 species
UUCGGGAUAAGGCCCGGGAAACUGGGUCUAAUACCGGAUACGACUGCCGGACGCAUGUCGUGGUGGUGGAAGGUUUUUCGGUUGGGGAUGGGCUCGCGGCCUAUCAGUUUGUUGGUGAGGUAAUGGCUCACCAAGACGACGACGGGUAGCCGGCCUGAGAGGGCGACCGGCCACACUGGGACUGAGACACGGCCCAGACUCCUACGGGAGGCAGCAGCU